rnacentral:lncRNA from 14 species
AAAAUCCCCGUUGUUGGCUUAUCCCAGAAAGUGAUUCAUCCUCCCCACGGGAUCUGGACUUGCCUCCGCAUGUUUUGCAAUGCUGCCUGGCUUUAUAACAGCCUGGUUGCAUGUGGUGGCUCCUCACUGGCUUCUCUGCUCGCCUUUGAGUGAGGAGGCAGCAGCUCAUCCUCCUCACGAUGAUUUUCCUCCUGCAGCAUCUCUUCUUGCUGGCCACAGACUUACUGCUCGCGACGACCUUUUCCUGCCUCUUCUACGUCUUCGUAUGCAUUUGUAUUGCAUCUUUGGUCUGCAUCAUUAUCCUCUUCUCCUUUGGCAUUGUGGAGAGGAAUGUUGAUGUGAAAGGGAGAGCAAUUGUCAUUCUCGUGUCCAACAGCUCCAUUGGGAGGAUGUUUGCAAGGAACCUGAAUAAAGCAGGUUUCAGGGUGUCUGCUGCACACUGGCCUCCUCGAGAGAAGGGGACAGCUAUGGAAGAAGAGUGCUCCUCAGGCAUUGAGGUAGCCGAGCUCCACAUGACUGAGGAUGAGUACCAGAAGACAAUGAAAACCUUCAUAGAAAACCACUUGUCCCUGAAAGGCUCUGCAGAGGAAGGACAUUUUGGAAGUCAGAGCAUGCACCAUGAAGCCUCCCCUACUGCAGACAGCCUUCAGAUGGGGAAGCAUCCAAAAGACCAGAAGUACCUGUGGUCAGCUCCUGUGAGACACUGCACGGCCCAGGAUACAGCCCCUCCAUUCACUAGCAGCACAGAGGCUCCAGGAAUGGGUGCCCUGCACACUGAUGGAGGGCUGCAGAUCAAACGCUCCAUUGCCUCCAUCAGUGUUUAGACUCAUUGGCACUAGUACAAUUACUCUGGUAAAGACAAGAUCUAAAAGCUCACAAAGCUGUGAGCCAGCAUAUUCCUCCUCCAGAAACGAACAGCACAGACUUUCUUAACCAGCAGUGCUCUGUGGGAGCUGGUGAUUUCCAUGGGCCUUUGCUGUUGUAAUUAAAUGAGGAUCUAUCCCCGUGAUAUUUGCCUGUUUUUCCUUUUGAAUACCUGUGCUAGUUAAGGGGUUUUAAUAGAAUUACAGAAUGGUUUGGGUUGGAAGGGACCUUAAA